AGGAAAACAGAGAGUUAUCUCCAAGUUUUUUGCGCUGGCUUGGUGAGCGCAACCUGUCUACCGAUGACCGUGUAAUGCGCCUCAAAGAAGGGUAUAUUAAAGAGGGCAGCACUGUAAGUGUGAUUGGGGUUGUCAGACGCCACGAUAAUGUGGUCAUGAUUGUUCCUCCAACGGAGCCUGUGUCAACAGGCUUUCAAUGGUUUCGCUGCCUUCUCCCGACCUAUGUUGAAGGUCUCAUUCUGACGUGCGAUGAUAAUCAGAAUGCUGAUGUCGUUCCUGUGUAGAUAUAUUCAGUUUCAUGAUAGUUGUUUUUAGAAGUGGGAUUUGCAUGUAAAAAUAUGAAAGGCCGAAACCGUAGGAAAAAGCACAUACGACAACCGGCUCUGUUCUUUCCUUUCGUGGUUAAGUGUAUGUAAGCCUAAAGAUGCAGUUCAGAAAGACUGAAGAUAUAUAGCUUACUCUGGAUUAAUAUGCUGUGAAGGUGGUAAUGUAAUAGGGCAAAAAGGCCCGACGACCACCCUUUGAAGAAGUUUGUAGAUGAUGUAACGUUGGAAAUCAGGAAGCUCUGAUUUCGUGUACAUAAGUCAUAGCUUCAUAGAGUGCCCAAAGGGGUUCCGGCCGGCUGCCUUUCGUCUGAUGCUCGAUUGCAGUACACAAAGUAGUUACUAGGGUUUCUGUGGUUUCCUUUUUUUUUGUUAUAAACCGUCCGGCCUCACGUGUAUUUGUAUUUCAUCUUGUAAUGUGUAUUGUUUGUGACAAGAAGGAAAUGUUAAUAUUCUACUAAGCAUGGGAUUAUGUAGCGUUAAUGUUUCGUGUCCAA